rnacentral:rRNA from 1 species
AMNUUAGCGGCGGACGGGUGAGUAACACGUGGGCAACCUGCCCCUUAGACUGGGAUAACUCCGGGAAACCGGAGCUAAUACCGGAUAAUCCCUUUYUCCACCUGGAGAGAGGGUGAAAGAUGGCUUCGGCUAUCACUAGGGGAUGGGCCCGCGGCGCAUUAGCUAGUUGGUAAGGUAACGGCUUACCAAGGCRACGAUGCGUAGCCGACCUGAGAGGGUGAUCGGCCACACUGGGACUGAGACACGGCCCAGACUCCUACGGGAGGCAGCAGUAGGGAAUCUUCCGCAAUGGACGAAAGUCUGACGGAGCAACGCCGCGUGAGUGAGGAAGGCCUUCGGGUCGUAAAGCUCUGUUGUGAGGGAAGAAGCGGUACCGUUCGAAUAGGGCGGUACC